rnacentral:rRNA from 1 species
GUGCCAGCAGCCGCGGUAAGACAGAUAGUGCAAACGUUGUUCGGAUUUACUGGGCGUAAAGCGCAUGUAGGCGGCUUCGCAAGUUGGAUGUGAAAGCCCACGGCUCAACCGUGGAAGCGCAUCCAAAACUGCGUCGCUGAAGUCCCGGAGAAAAAGGUGGAAUGCUUGGUGUAGAGGUGAAAUUCGUAGAUAUCAAGCAGAACACCUGCGGCGAAGGCGGCCUUCUGGACAAUGACUGACGCUGAGACGCGAAAGCGUGGAAAGCAAACAGGAUUAGAUACCCUGGUAGUCC